rnacentral:lncRNA from 1 species
CGGGGCUGUCCAUGUCGACACUCUCUAGGCUGAUCUGUUCAACCUGGAGGAAGAACAGGAAAUGAUUUGGGACAAGCUUCUACAGCACAAGCAGAGGACUAGAAAGAGAUCAGCUGCAGGGGCUUUGGUCACGAGGACAGGCUGUGGCUUCCCACUCCCGCUUUCUGCACUCUCCUUACCAGCAGUGGCUGUGAAAGAGGCUAUUGUACAUUUUUGUCAGUUGGAAGAAAAGGCCAAUUCCAUCGAGAAUACCCUGUAAAUCUUUAGGACUUCUCACUCAGCCUUAACAAGAUUAUACCAAUUUGUCUUGGAAGUUAAAAAUAUAUAUGGUUUACUGUUAUUAGAUUAAGAAUUUUUGAGCAAAUCAACUAACCUUCACAGUUCAGUCCGGUGGCAUCAAGAGAGAACCCUCUUUGGCAUUCACAGCUGAAACUGCCUGGAGUGUUUUGACAGAUUCCCUUUGCUCCACAAAGCGAAGGUUGAGACCCACAUUCGUUGUUGUCUGGCAAAGCAUCAAGAAGCAGAGCGUCAAACUUUCCAAUCAUAACAUGUCUUACGUUUCAUGGGAAGUAAAAAGCAAUGUAUGAAAACCUAAGUUUCAUGAUGUGAAAAUGGCAUUUUGGGAAAAUUUAUACCAAAAUUCACUGUCAUAUUAAAGACAAAAGUGGUAAGAAAAAGUGUAUUUUAAGAGGUUUGAGAUUUGAGCAUAUUUUGGAGUGAUUGAAGGCACACUGACUAAAGUUCCUUAACAUGUGUCUUCUAAAAUAAAAGCUCAAUAUGUUUGUUAACAUGUUCUAAAUUACAGUGAGCCUUUAAUCAUAUUUUGUCUGAACACCAUGGUUGCAUUAAGAAUGUGAUAUAAAGGCACUGCUUGAAAUAUGGCUACUGUGCAGGUGCUUGGACUAAAAAGGCCUUUUUUUUCCCUUUGGAUAUUGUUCUUGAAAAUAUCUAUCUUAUUAGCAACUUCUUUAGACCACAAAUUAUGGGGUAUUGGUUACUGAACAUA